rnacentral:rRNA from 1 species
AUUGAACGCUGGCGGCAGGCCUAACACAUGCAAGUCGAGCGGCAGCGGGACCUUCGGGUUGCCGGCGAGCGGCGGACGGGUGAGUAAUGCCUAGGAAUCUGCCUGUUAGUGGGGGAUAACGCGGGGAAACUCGCGCUAAUACCGCAUACGUCCUACGGGAGAAAGUGGGGGACCUUCGGGCCUCACGCUAACAGCUGAGCCUAGGUCGGAUUAGCUAGUUGGUGGGGUAACGGCCCACCAAGGCGACGAUCCGUAACUGGUCUGAGAGGAUGAUCAGUCACACUGGAACUGAGACACGGUCCAGACUCCUACGGGAGGCAGCAGUGGGGAAUAUUGGACAAUGGGCGAAAGCCUGAUCCAGCCAUGCCGCGUGUGUGAAGAAGGUCUUCGGAUUGUAAAGCACUUUAAGCCGGGAGGAAGGGCUGUAGGCGAAUACCCUGCAGUCUUGACGUUACCGGCAGAAUAAGCACCGGCUAACUUCGUGCCAGCAGCCGCUGUAAUAC